CCUUUAAACUUUAUAAAUAAUCAUGUAUAUCAAUCCUUAAAUACUAUAUGGUCAAUCAAAGUUAGUGAAUAGAGCUACAACGAAAUCCUCGACUAUUGACACAACUCUUUGGCGUAUAGAAGGGAUAUUUUGAAAUAUUUAUUGAGUUUUAGGGUGGUAAAUUGCUGAUUCUUUUUCUUUGAAAGAAAGACAGAAGAAAGAAUGACAUGAAUAGAAAUUUCCCAUAGCGUAGAAGAAGAAAAUUUUUGUUUCUCUCCAUCCUCUCC
rnacentral:lncRNA from 1 species